rnacentral:ncRNA from 1 species
GUGUUGCAAGACUUAAUAGGGAAGUCGGUCAAAGCCGACGCGGUCCCGCCACUGUAACAGCGAGUGCCUCUGCAUGGUGCCACUGGGGAAACCCCGGGAAGGCGCAGAGAAACGAUGAACUGGAGCCAGGAGAACUGCCUGAUUUA